rnacentral:rRNA from 1 species
GCACCACAACGGGUGGAGCCUGCGGUUUAAUCGGACUCAACGCCGGGAAACUCACCGGACAAGACAGCUGAAUGAUUGCCGGGCUGAAGACUCUGCAUGACUAGCUGAGAGGAGGUGCAUGGCCGUCGUCAGUUCGUACUGUGAAGCAUCCUGUUAAGUCAGGCAACGAGCAAGACCCACGCCAACAGUUGCCAGCUCGUCCUCCGGGAUGGAGGGGACACUGUUGGGACCGCCUCUGCUAAAGAGGAGGAAGGAAUGGGCAACGGUAGGUCAGCAUGCCCCGAAUUGUCCGGGCUACACGCGGGCUGCAAUGGAUGGGACAAUGGGUCCCGACACCGAAAGGUGAAGGCAAUCUCUUAAACCCAUUCUUAGUUCGGAUUGAGGGCUGAAACUCGCCCUCAUGAAGCUGGAAUCCGUAGUAAUCGCGUUUCAAAAUAGCGCGGUGAAUACGUCCCUGCUCCUUGCACACACCGCCCGUCAAACCACCCGAGUGGGGUUUAUGUGAGGGCGUGGUCUUUGCCACGUUCGAACAUGGGUUCCGCAAGGGGGGUU